rnacentral:misc_RNA from 1 species
GAAAAAAAAAAAAAAAGCAUUGAAAUAAAUUUGCAAAAUUAAAGAAAAAUUCAUAUGUGUUUGACUGAUAAAAUCAGAAUACAAAACUUCGAUUAUCAACAUGCAAAGAAAGAACAAGAGUCGCAAAUUAAAGAAUAAUCAAUUUGGGCCUGAUUGAUUCAACCAGAAUUUAAACUUCCAAAUACGAUCACAAAACUAUUGAAUAAAUUGAAUAGUACAAGUUUAUUAAUCAGAUUACUUACAUAAAAAGCAACCACAACUCCAGC